rnacentral:rRNA from 1 species
UACAGAGGGGGCAAGCGUUGUUCGGAAUUACUGGGCGUAAAGGGCGCGUAGGCGGCCUGUUAAGUCGAACGUGAAAUCCCUGGGCUCAACCCAGGAACUGCGUCCGAUACUGGCAGGCUUGAAUUCGGGAGAGGGAUGCGGAAUUCCAGGUGUAGCGGUGAAAUGCGUAGAUAUCGGGAGGAACACCAGUGGCGAAGGCGGCAUCCUGGCUCUGUCCUGACGCUCAGGGGCGAAAGCGUGGGGAGCAAACCGG